GCGCCGGUGGUGUAAAGGCGUAGAGCAUUCCCGCCCGGUUAGAGGGAGGUGCGGGUUCGAGUCCCGCCUGGCGCU
rfam:Heligmosomoides polygyrus genome assembly, scaffold: HPBE_scaffold0001431